UGCACGCCAAGUCCCUCUCCCCCAUCCCCCUCCUGAAAUCCAGGAGGAGGGAGGAAAUACAAGGCGAGAUCAAAAAUGUUAACCCUUGUCCAACGCUUGGCAGGCGGGAGAAGGCAUGAAACCAAUGAACGAAAUGUGGAAAUCGAUUGUGAAACAAACAGGGAAGAAACCAGAGGAGAGAACUCAAACAACAAUGCAGACUACAAGGCAGGGGAGAAUCAAGUGCAGUGUUCCAAAGAGAAACCAUGGUGGCCACGCAUCCCUGCACCACCUCCUAUUCAGUGCUAGGCUGUGACAGCACAGCUGGCCAACAGAAUCCAUUUGAGAAACAGCUUUAAAAGAGGACUAAACAACAUUUCUCAACCAGGAAAGCUUGCCAGAUCCUUGGAUAAAAGGUGAUCCUUUCCUGACAACCCAUAGGAUUUAAGAUCUGCAGCACUGCUUUCAAUGUCAAGCCUAUAUAAUAUAUUUACAAAGCUGGAAAGCAGGGCCUUAUUACAGGAUGGCCCAUGAUACUAUUGCCUGCUUCCUCUGGA